ensembl:lncRNA
GACAGGGCUAAUGCCACUUUAAUAUUUAAUUAGGAAGGCUAACUCAAAAAUUUCUUAAGAAGGAACUGUGGCAGCCCUUCUCCAUCAUCCACACAAAAAACCUAACUCUUAACUAACACCCAACAUGCCUAUUUACCAGUUGAUUGAGAGUAGCAAUAUGUGUACUUUAGGACCUCCCAUUGGUCCACAGAAGGUCCUGGAGGAUGAUAUCAUUUUUGUUUGUCCAGGUCAGAGGCGGUUCAACCACCAGGCCAACUAGGCAGUUGCCUGUGGCGUCAUCUUGUUGGGGGCGCCAUCGAGGCAACUCCUGUCUCCUGCCACCUGCCUCCGCAAGCAUACUAUUCCCAAAGAUGCUUUGCCGAAUGGAAGAAAAUGGAAGGAGAAUCUGCACAGCUGCUGAUUAUUUUGGGAUCGCACACAUCCACUUAAUAAGGUAUUGUACAUAAAUAUCAUGUCAUGAUGAAUUGCUAUGACUUUAUUAGCUGACACUGAAUUAGCCUUUUCACACUGAAGCGUUUCACAGUGCUAUUUUAUUGGCUGUUACUGUCACCAUGUAAACUACAGACUAAGGAAUGAUGUACUAGGUUUAGACAGGCUGGCAGAUCUGGAGGACUUGUAAAAGAGACAUCUGCAGCAGUAAAGCAGAUUGGAGGUUUAUAAAAGGUCAGGGAAGGCCCUUGUGAAAAUUGCAAGCAAGUAUUCAAAAGGUAAAUGAAAGGCAUCCCACUCCCACCCUGAGAAUUUUGCCAUAGAGUACCUAGACAUAUAUUUAAAUAACUUAUUGUUGAAUGAGGGAACCAGUGUGGUGUAGAGGUGUAUGUGCUGGACUAGGACUUUGGGAGACCAGGACUCAAAACUCCACUCAGCCAUGAAAAGCCAUUGGGUGACUUUGAUCAAAUCACAGUCUCUCAGACGAAGGCAAAGGCAACCCUCUUUGAACAAAUCUUUGUGAUAAGAUCACCAUAAGUCAGAAACCAUAACAUCAACAUUGGGAAAACAAUGUUCAAGGCACAAAAAUAUUGUCCAGUGGUAUAAAUGCAGGCAUCAUAUGCAAACGUAUUUAAACAACACUUCUGUUGAUUGAGGAAAUGGUUUUAAUAUCAUACUACGACCUUGUCACACGCGCCGCCAAAAUGGUGGCAUCUCACUAUGUCCUAGCGAUGCUUGUUCAGGGACCAUGGGGACCUGUUACCCCAUGCCCUGCUCCGUUGUGGCUUUCCCCCACCUCAUUACAUGGGGGGAAGCCUUCUUGAGGCAGCAUUGCCCAUCUUUCCUAAUGGAAAGACAGAAGGCCUGCCCUUGGCUGCCACCACCAUUUUUUUCAGUGGCAGUGGUAAUUCAGCCACAGAACCACCCCAAAAGUAAUUCUCUGGGGUGUGAUGUGAGCCAUCGGGAUUCAUGAUGAAAAAAAGGUGUGAAGAGGUCCCUAGUAUUUCAGUGGACUGGGUUUAUUGUCCACCUAAAAGGGAAUCCUUCCCCUCAGGCUUCAUCUCAUUCCCUUCAGCAGGAUCUUCUAACACUCUAUGGCAGGGGUCCCCAAACUUUUAAAACAUGUGGCCAGUUCACGUCCCCUCAGACCGUUGGAGGGCCGGACUAUAGUUUUUUUUAAAAACAAAUCCCUAUGCAGUGCACACUGCACAUAUCUUAUUUUGAAGGAAUAAAUACAGCCUCAAUGUUAAUCAUAAUCAUAAUAAAAAUAAUAAAGAGGGUUGGAAGAGACCCCAUGGGGCAUUUAGUCCAACCUCCUUCUGCCUUUGUGCACCAAAAGCACUAGCAAAGCACCCCUUAAUAAU